UUUUGGACAAUGGGCGCAAGCCUGAUCCAGCCAUUCCGCGUGCAGGAUGAAGGCCCUCGGGUUGUAAACUGCUUUUGUACGGAACGAAAAGGUGCCGGUUAAUACCUGGCGCUCAUGACGGUACCUGCAGAAGAAGCCCCGGCCAACUACGUGCCAGCAGCCGCGGUAACACGUAGGGGGCAAGCGUUGUCCGGAUUUAUUGGGCGUAAAGAGCUCGUAGGUGGUUCGGUAAGUCGGGUGUGAAAACUCUGGGCUCAACUCAGAGACGCCACCCGAUACUGCUGUGACUUGAGUCUGGUAGGGGAGUGUGGAAUUCCCAGUGUAGCGGUGAAAUGCGCAGAUAUUGGGAGGAACACCAGUGGCGAAGGCGGCACUCUGGGCCAGUACUGACACUGAGGAGCGAAAGCGUGGGUAGCGAAC
rnacentral:rRNA from 1 species